rnacentral:sRNA from 1 species
AUAGUAAUGGCUUAUAACCAAAGUACACAAUCAGUGUCGAAAAGAAAGACAGGGAUGUGAACACACAGGUUCCCAGGAGACGCGGAGACAGAACUUAGCAUGGGAUCCCAGCCCUGCGUUUCUCAACUUUUUUUCAGUCUGUGACUUGGUGGGAUCUGUGUCCCCACUCUUUGCCUGUCCUGCUCUGACCAUCCCAUCUGACCCAGGUGUGAACACAGAGUCCAUCCACACAGUCCUCCCCAAGAGGAACUUGGAGGAAGUAGGGGCCAUGGAUUUCAUGAUGUGCUGGGCAAUGAAAGACCUUCUGCUUACAUGAGGGAGCACAAUCAAUUAAAUGGCUGGUCUUCUGACGAAAAUGACUGGAAUGAAAAACUCUACCCAGUGUGGAAGAGGGGAGACAUGAGGUGGAAAAACUCCUGGAAGGGAGGCUGUGUGCAGGCGGUCCUGACCAGUGACUCACCAGCCCUCGUGGGCUCAAAUAUAACAUUUGUGGUGAACCUGGUAUUCCCUAGAUGCCAAAAGGAAGAUGCCAAUGGCAACAUUGUCUAUGAGAAGAACUGCAGAAAUGAGGCUGGUUUAUCUGCUGAUCCGUAUGUUUACAACUGGACAGCAUGGUCAGAGGACAGUGACGGGGAAAAUGGCACUGGCCAAAGCCAUCAUAACGUGUUCCCCGAUGGGAAACCUUUUCCUCACCACCCCGGAUGGAGAAGAUGGAAUUUC